GAUGAACGCUAGCGGCAGGCUUAACACAUGCAAGUCGAGGGGUAACAGGGAAAAGCUUGCUUUUCCGCUGACGACCGGCGCACGGGUGCGUAACGCGUAUAGAACCUACCUUAUACUGAGGAAUAGCCUUUAGAAAUGAAGAUUAAUGCCUCAUAUUAUUAGUUUAUGGCAUCAUAGAUUAAUGAAAGAUUUAUUGGUACAAGAUGGCUAUGCGUCCUAUUAGUUAGUUGGUGAGGUAACGGCUCACCAAGACAGCGAUAGGUAGGGGUCCUGAGAGGGAGAUCCCCCACACUGGUACUGAGACACGGACCAG
rnacentral:rRNA from 1 species